GUCGCUGGCUCUCUCUGGGAGCAUGUGCACGCCUGGUCCAAACUCUUCAUUUCAACCCCCUGUGCACUUUUUGUGAAUCGUGGAUGGAUAACUCUCGAGGUAACACUCGGUUGUGAGGAUUGUGCUUAAAAAGCAUCUCUCCUCUACAUCCACUUCCGCGGUUCACGUCUUUUCUACACACUACUAUUUAAACUUAGAAUGCUUAACAGUUGGGACUUUAGUGACCCUUCUUAAAUUUAAUACAACUUUCAACAACGGAUCUCUUGGCUCUCGCAUCGAUGAAGAACGCAGCGAAAUGCGAUAAGUAAUGUGAAUUGCAGAUUUCAGUGAAUCAUCGAAUCUUUGAACGCACCUUGCGCCUUGUGGUAUUCCGCAAGGCAUGCCCGUUUGAGUGUCAUUAAAUCAUCAACCUCAAAAAACUUUGUGUUUCUGAGGCUUGGUCUUGAGGGUUUUUGUAGGCUUUCUCAGUCUACUCCCUUUAAAUACAUUAGCGAGACUUCCCUGUGUUGACCGUCUCUUGGCGUGAUAAUUA
rnacentral:misc_RNA from 1 species